rnacentral:rRNA from 1 species
UCCCUCGACAACCCGACGAGAUCGGGCGUUCCCCUUCGGGGGACAGGGUGACAGGUGGUGCAUGGUUGUCGUCAGCUCGUGUCGUGAGAUGUUGGGUUAAGUCCCGCAACGAGCGCAACCCCUACGUUUAGUUGCUAACGCGUGAAGGCGAGCACUCUAGACGAACUGCCGUUGACAAAACGGAGGAAGGUGGGAUGACGUCAAAUCAUCAUGCCCCUUAUGUUCUGGGCUACACACGUGCUACAAUGGCCGGUACAGACGGACGCAAAGCCGCGAGGUGGAGCAAAUCCUAAAAAGCCGGUCUCAGUUCGGAUUGCAGGCUGCAAUUCGCCUGCAUGAAGUCGGAAUCGCUAGUAAUCGCAGGUCAGCAUACUGCGGUGAAUACGUUCCCGGGCCUU